GUAGAAGUCAAGCCAACCAGAGCAAUGCUCACUCUUACUACCUUGGAGAAACUACUUCAUUAUUAUUUAUAUGGCAGUAGUGCCUAGUGGGGCUUUUCAAGACCAGGCCCCAUUGCUCUUGGGAUGGUACAAAAGCACAAUAGAAGACACCUCUCAUUCUGAAGAAAUUACAAACUAUGUUAAGCAAGACACAACAAGUGGGUGCAACAAACAACCAGAAGGAAUAGCAACAAGAGGAUGAUAGGAACAAUGCAGUUUGAAGGCAGAUUUCCUGAGCUGUUAGGCUGCCUGUCUGAUGCAAUGCUAACUCAGCAUUUUUAAGUAUGUCACCUCCAGGAAGAAUCGCUCCUUUCAAAAAUACCUGUUCAGUGUCAGCAUGAUGCAGCAUGGAAAGACAAGACUAUUUAACCCGAAACUAUGGUACAAGCAGAAACUACGUCAAAUCCGCAGUUUUAAAGUGCUCCUAUUGAAGUUGGUGUUUCACAGACCUGUCAAGAUCUGAAAUCUAAUAAAUAGGUGCAUUUGGA